UACAGAGGUCUCAAGCGUUGUUCGGAUUCAUUGGGCGUAAAGGGUGCGUAGGCGGCGCGGUAAGUCGGGUGUGAAAUCUCGGAGCUUAACUCCGAAACUGCAUUCGAUACUGCCGUGCUUGAGGACUUGGAGAGGAGACUGGAAUUCCCGGUGUAGUGGUGAAAUGCGUAGAUAAUCGACCGGAACUCCGGUGGCGAAGGCGAGGUGCUGGGUCCUUUCUGACGCUGAUGGCGUCGAAAGCGUGGGUAGC
rnacentral:rRNA from 1 species